rnacentral:sRNA from 1 species
GCCUAGCCCAGAUUGCAGCGAAAACAUGGAAGUGAAAAAUAAUAUUGUUUUCUUGCCUGAAAGAGCGACCAAAGUAAGCUCCUUUUAGGCAAUUAAAAACAAAUUAUUUUCACUGACAGGUUGUAGCGAAAAGCUGGAAAAAGC